AAUAUUCAAAAUAAUCCCAACGAUAUAGACAGUACAAAAUUUGUUCAGUUUUUCUAGAAAUAUUUAUAAAUAUGGCGGGAAGCUCCAAAGUAGUCAUAGUUCGCAGCACAUUUGUUAAUUCGCUAAUGGCCAAGAAUGGAAGUCAGGGAGUCAGCAUAGUCCGAAUGGUGAAGCUGAUCAAGCCCGGGAAAAAGAUUCCAUCAAUUAAAUUGUUAUGAAUAAAUAAAAUUGAUUGUUUAUGUCUUUCAAACUCCA